rnacentral:lncRNA from 1 species
CUGGAAUAAAGGAAGCCCUAGCUUCCAGCAGUCGGGACUUCUCUCUCUGCAAGCAUAGCCUCAAAGCACCUCUGAUGGAUGGCUCCCAAGACAUUUCAUUGCUUGAAGUUCAGCAAGUUUGAAUUACCCUCUAGACAUCAACAUUAACUUCACAGGAUAUCUGAACACACAAGAGAGACCAGGGAUAUUCACACACAGAGGAAAGACCGUGUGAGAACAUGGUGAGAAGGCAGCCAUCUGCAAGCCAAAGAGAGAGGCCUCAGGAGAAACCAAUGCUGCCAACGCCUUGACCUUGGCCUUCCAGCCUCCAGAACUGUGAGAAAAUAAAUUUCUGUUGCGUAAGCCCCCCAGUCUGUAGUAUUUUGUUACGGCAACCCACACUGACUAAUACAUAAACCAUCAAGUAAAAGGAGUGAUCUGGAAGCAAGGCCCUAAUACUAGGUUGAAGUUGACAACAACAAGAGCUGGUGUAGAACAGACAGCAAGGAAUGAAGUCAAGAUACAGGAGAAAAGACUCUGGUUGCAGAGUCAAAC